rnacentral:lncRNA from 1 species
AUUUAUUUAAUUUACACUACUGACCCUCCAGCCUGCCAUUCCUAGCCUUCCAAAAUUCCAUUGGUUUUCCUUGCCUUGUUUGCAGGAGAUUUGAGGCCAGUUUCGAUGCCUACUGAGUACAGCUGGAUUGGGGAGCCCAAAGAACAGAACAUGUACAAGAGGGGAAGCAGAGACUCUGAGAACUCGCUGCUGCGCUACCUGAGCGACGACAAGAUCCUGGUGAUCCAGGAGGAGCCCCUGGCGCAGAAGGACAGCAAAAGGGACACGGCCAGGAGGUCCAGGAGGAAGGGCAAAGGGCCAGGGACCCCUGGCUUCCCCAUCAGCCCCUCGGUGCUGGCCUCCACCAUGAGCAUCAGGAUGGAGC